UUUAAAGCCUCAGUGAUAGAGAAUUUCAAUCUACAAAACCAUUACCAAUGCUGCAGUACAAAUGUCCCUUACUUUGCUCACCACCAUGUCUCAGUCCCUACAUAGAGGGAAUACCUCUAGAGUUAAUUCAGUCUCUGUGCCCAGUCAAUCCUUUGCCUCU
rnacentral:sRNA from 1 species